GAUCACACACACACCUUUGUGGGGUGGACUGAAUGAACAGCAUACGUUGGCAAACCACGCUGCUGUUCUCAGUACACUAUCUCUCAAGACAUUGCGAUCUGACCAGUGGAAAAACAGGAUGUGGUUAACUUUAUGGCUGUAAACGAUACUGACAUCUGUAGUGGUUAAAUAACUGCCUGCAUAUUGCCACGUAGAUAUGCUGUUGUCCUAUGUAUGUACGUGAUGUUAUACAAUAGUUAAAGGUCAUAGGCUGUUUAUGGAGAAAAAAUAAUCCACGCCUCCAGGCGGAGGUAAUAAUAAAAGCGGAGACCAGAAUUACGAGGGGGGCUCCGAAAUUGAACUCUGGUCUCACCGUGUCUCACUGUGUCGUGAUAUCUACAUCUGGUGACCUCGACGUGAUUCAGAACAAACACCCUCGUACCCACUGGCAGGAUCAGCCAACGGUGCACCUCAGCGUACAGCUCCCAUUCGUAGCUGCAGUACUGGCAGAAGUGACCAGGGAGAAACCGGUUCCGGCAUUUUCAGCAGUCGGAGUCUCUACCUGCCCCGCGGGUGCAGUUUCGGCAACUACCAAAUCCAGAGUGGAAAGGCCCAGUUCCGCUUAUAACGUGGGGUCGAGGUUACGCGGCUGUGUCUACGCCUGACGGUCCUGUGUGGGUACCUGCUAGGUGUAUCCGGCCCUGGAAAGACGAUGUCCUGGCACGAUAAUCUUAAGAAUCCCAUCCCUAAUUUUUCUCUGCAACUUCAGGAUACUGGGAUGUCUUCCAGGAAGCGUGGUCGGAAUGUUCCGCAACCUCCCGUGACUUGGGGCCAGAUAAAGAACUUAGCAACACAAGCAGAAAAAGCAAUGGAACAAGCCGGGGUGGACAAGACAACUGAGAACACCAUUCUUGCUUUAAUUGCGUCUUUAAAUACAAAUUCUAUUUUUGUACUUUGCAUUUGUUGGAUUUUAGGAAGCGCCGGGGCUGACAGGUUGGGGCAGGAGUUGGGGAUGCGGUUUCAACACAAUAUCUGGGUUCAGUUAGCAAGAAUGACAAAUGUGAGUGACUUUUGCAUGACUGAACAUGUACAGGAAAUGGGUAUGUUGGGAACAUGUUUAAUACCCGUAUGCAAAGCACCUGGGGAUAUUGGGAACAUUACAGGACUUGGGCGAUUCAUGAAUACUUCAGAGAUUAAAUAUCAUACUGUUUCGAAUUGGGGAACUCCAACCUUCCAGCUGCCUGUUAAUGCUUUUCAAUUAUUUACAUCACAUGUUGCAAAUUCCAUUAAUAAUACGUGUGCUCGGAUGGUUAAUUGUAGUCGACAUAAGGUGCAGAAGGGAUAUUUCUGAUACCAUCUGUUGCCUGAGUCGACUGGUUCCCAUUUUCCUUCAUAAAAGGGAGUUGCUAGCCCAACGUAGGAAUUGCUUAAUAAAGCAGAAAGUGUAUCACUAGCCAUCUCCCUUGUUGGACUUCCUGCAUUGGCAGUAAGUAACAGCAAUCAAUUACAUAAAUUAGCCUGUAAUUAUGUUAAGAUGAUAAAUGCCACCUCUCGAGCCAUUGCUUUGUUAAAUGAAGAGCAGGGUAUAUUAAGACAAGCUAUCUUGGAUAAUCGUGCAGCUAUAGAUUACCUGCUAUUACAACAUCAGUUGGGGUGCGAAACUAUAAAGAAUAUGUGCUGUUUUAAUUUAACUGACAACAGUUUUGAAAUCAGAACACAGGUAAAAAACUUGAAGGAUCUAGCUAAUAACAUUUUGCAGGACGCCCCUACAACUUGGUGGCAGUGGCUUUGGAGUUGGCUGCCCACUGGAUGGCUAAGUCAGAUUCUUAGAUAUGCUAUUCUUUUACUCAUUUUAAGUAUAGGCUUAUGCUGUUUUUUACAAUACCUUUUCCAGACGUGUACACCUGUUGCUCCGCGACCAUUACGUAGUAAUUACUUUUUGCUAAAAAAUAAAAAAGGGGGAGAUGUGGGGUGGACUGAAUGAACAGCAUACGUUGGCAAACCACGCUGCUGUUCUCAGUACACUAUCUCUCAAGACAUUGCGAUCUGACCAGUGGAAAAACAGGAUGUGGUUAACUUUAUGGCUGUAAACGAUACUGACAUCUGUAGUGGUUAAAUAACUGCCUGCAUAUUGCCACGUAGAUAUGCUGUUGUCCUAUGUAUGUACGUGAUGUUAUACAAUAGUUAAAGGUCAUAGGCUGUUUAUGGAGAAAAAAUAAUCCACGCCUCCAGGCGGAGGUAAUAAUAAAAGCGGAGACCAGAAUUACGAGGGGGGCUCCGAAAUUGAA